rnacentral:sRNA from 1 species
UUCCUUAGAAAAGUUAACACAUAGUUUAGUAGAUCUGUUAAUUGAUGUAGGGCAACAUUUCUGCAAAUCUUGGUCCAAUUUUAAUGGACAAAUACUCAAUUUUUCUCUACAUUUAUUAGGACCAAAAGUUUCAAUCAUUUUUGUCUCAUUCAUAUGAUCAUCCUGAGGCGGUUGUUGUGCAAUAUUUGUCUAUUUUCUGGCUCAGUACAUGCAUUCAAUUUUGUGUUUAAUUAAGUGAAAAUAUAGACAGUUUUAUUUUUCCAAAGUCUCUGUAGUUUGCUACAAGUCAGGACACAAGAGAUAUACAGAUUUACAUGAACAAAUUCUAAUUCAACAUGAAAUUCAUAUAUUAUCCAUAAGAAAUAAAUGCAAAUGACUAAAUAUAACACCUUACGUCAAGAAAUCCAAUAAAUACAAAACAGAAAUUAUAGUGUUCUUUUUACAUGUACAACAGCAUGCUGUCAGUCUAUGCUAAGAAAUCGAAUUUAUACAAAUGGCUAUAGGUUACAUAUAUGAAAUCCAUCUGGAUGCCAGUUGGCAUAUAUGCAUGAUCCAGUUGGCUCCAUUUCAAGGCGGUCGUUGGAAUCAGUAUAUUUCUUCUUGUUGUUAAGAAUUAUGCAAUCUGCGUGCAAUUUUUAUUAAAGUCUGAUGAUCAAUAUUAAAGAUGUAGAAUGAU